rnacentral:rRNA from 1 species
GACGGAGGGUCCUAGCGUUGUUCGGAAUAACUGGGCGUAAAGGGUACGUAGGCGGUUUGGUCAGUUAGAUGUGAAAGCCCAGGGCUCAACCUUGGAACUGCAUUUAAUACUGCCAGACUUGAGAUCGGAAGAGGAAAGCGGAAUUCCUAGUGUAGAGGUGAAAUUCGUAGAUAUUAGGAGGAACAUCAGAGGCGAAGGCGGCUUUCUGGUCCGAUACUGACGCUGAGGUACGAAAGCGUGGGGAGCAAACAGG